AUAUCAGCGCGGACUCGUCGAUGUAUUGAUCGAACUCGAAGCAGAUGUGACCGUCCGAGAGGAUGGUCUCUCUUUUUGUCGGAGAGUUUGAUCCUGGCUCAGGACAAACGCUGGCGGCGUGCAUAAAACAUGCAAGUCGAACGGACCAAAGCCGCAAGGCCGAGGUUAGUGGCGAACGGCUGAGUAACACGUAGGUGACCUGCCCCGAAGUGGGGGAUAACUCCUCGAAAGAGGUGCUAAUACCGCAUGUGACCACCGAUUCAUUUCGGUGCUCAAAGUCGCAAGACGCUUUGGGAGGGGCCUGCGGCCGAUUAGCUAGUUGGUGGGGUAAUGGCCUACCAAGGCAGCGAUCGGUAGCUGGUCUGAGAGGAUGACCAGCCAGACUGGGACUGAGACACGGCCCAGACUCCUACGGGAGGCAGCAGUUAGGAAUUUUGCACAAUGGGGGAAACCCUGAUGCAGCCACGCCGCGUGCGGGAUGAAGGCCUUCGGGUCGUAAACCGCUUUUCUCAGGGAAGACACCCGACGGUACCUGAGGAAUAAGCAACGGCUAACUACGUGCCAGCAGCCGCGGUAAUACGUAGGUUGCGAGCGUUGUCCGGAUUUAUUGGGCGUAAAGCGCGCGCAGGCGGUCCUGCAAGUCCACGGUGAAAGCUCCCGGCCCAACUGGGAGAGGCCCGUGGAAACUGCAGGACUUGAAGGCGGGAGAGGCAGAUGGAAUUUCCGGUGUAGCGGUAAAAUGCGUAGAUACCGGAAGGAACACCAGUGGCGAAAGCGAUCUGCUGGCCCGCCCUUGACGCUCAGGCGCGAAAGCUAGGGGAGCGACCGGGAUUAGAUACCCCGUUAGUCCUAGCCGUAAACAAUGGUCACUAGGUGUUGUCGGUAUCGACCCCGGCAGUGCCGUAGCUAACGCAUUAAGUGACCCGCCUGGGGAGUACGACCGCAAGGUUAAAACUCAAAGGAAUUGACGGGGGCCCGCACAAGCAGCGGAGCGUGCGGUUUAAUUCGAUGGUACGCGAAGAACCUUACCGAGGCUUGACAUGCAAGUGGUACCGAUCCGAAAGGGGAGGGACCCGCAAGGGAGCUUGCACAGGUGUUGCACGGCUGUCGUCAGCUCGUGUCGUGAGAUGUUGGGUUAAGUCCCGCAACGAGCGCAACCCUCGGGGUCUGUUGUAUCACUCAGACCCGACUGCCGAGAGAAACUCGGAGGAAGGUGGGGAUGACGUCAAGUCAGCGUGGCCCUUACGCCUCGGGCUACACGCACGCUACAAUGGCCGGUCACAGCGAGUCGCGACGGCGCGAGCCGGAGCUAACCUCUUAAAACCGGCCUCAGUUCAGAUCGGAGGCUGCAACUCGCCUCCGUGAAGUCGGAGUUGCUAGUAACCGGGGGUCAGCACACCCCGGUGAAUAUGUUCCCGGGCCUUGUACACACCGCCCGUCACGUCAUGGGAGUCAGUAACACCCGAAGCCGGUGGGCCAACCGCAAGGAGGUAGCCGUCGAAGGUGGGAUUGGCGACUG
rnacentral:rRNA from 1 species